rnacentral:tmRNA from 1 species
GUCCUUUCAACGGCCUGAGAAAGGGCCUAUAUUGAAUAUGCCGGUUCGCCGGCUAUGGCGCUAAACAGGCUCGUGAAAUAAGCGCAACGGACCCGGGGGCAGUACCCGGCGCCUCCACCAUUUCUGGCCGUUUCACCGAACAGAUCGGUGCCUGACGGCGGUUUAUGGGGGCGAAAUAGGAUCGACGUGCGUGGUAAAGAUGGGUUUGGUUCCCGGCAUGGUACCGCCGUUAUCGGGCCAUACUCUAGUUGCGAAUGACAACUACGGUGAGGCACGCCUCGCUGCUUAAUGCAGUCAGGUUAGCCAAAUUAAGUCCUGGGCUUUCACAAGCUUAGGCGGGGUUCGGGGCGCACCUGGCAACAGAAGCGCCCCACC